rnacentral:lncRNA from 1 species
UAAUAGAUGUCAUAAGCACUGAAAAUCACACUGUAUUAAACAGCUCAUAAUGCUUUCCAAACCAUUUUGAUCAACAAGAAAGUGAUGAUAACUUAAUGAUUACUCUAAUGUAUUAUACAGGGUCACAGAAGGACUUGUGAAACCUUGCCAGUCUAAGGAGUCUCUGUCUCCUUUUCUUAGAAAUCACUGCUGCUGCAAUAGAGUCAGCUGGAAGGAUUUUGUGCUUCAGGUGCGUCUGCACAGCAUCCUGCCGCUUAGCUGAAGUGGCAUGGAGAGAUGGCUUAAAGACAGAUGACAGACUAUGCACCCUACAGCUAAGGCAUGGAUUUCAUUAUUCUAAACUUCCUUCUGAAUGUCUUACAUUAACCUUCUCCUCUACUCUCUGCUACUCCAAAGAUUUGGCAAUUAUGCCAUCCCUUUCUUUGCCUGCCAAAAUGUAACAACAAAAGUAAAAAUCGAGGAACUGAAAAAGAGAGCACUACGGAAAAAAAAUCACAUUUUAAAAACCUAAUGCAAAGCCUGCUGGAGCCACAGAAAGGAAAUGCUCAUGUCUGCAUCAGAGGUAGUGAUUUUGCUCUCUCCACAGCAGCUAAUAGACACUCUGUUGGCAGCUCAUCUCAUGCAAAAAUAAAUAUCUAAAGACAGUUUUAUGAAUCA